ensembl:lncRNA
AUGAGAGGUAGCAUGGGGCAACUACAGGAGACGAGUGCUCCCAACUGUCGCUUUUUGCUCUUCCUUCUCUUCCUGGUGACUCUGUGUCAUGGGCAAGCGCAGUAUGUCUCAUGGGGAGCACUGAGUCCAGAUGAACGUGUUGGCAACAUGUACGGAGCAUAUCCCAUGGAAGCUGAUCCAGAACUUGGUGAAUAUCCCAGGGAUCUGCCUGUACGCCGCGUAUCUGGGCUGCGCCGUUUAUAUCAGCCUCAAGGCUACCCCAGGGAGGUGGUUUCAGGUGCUGGCUCUGUAGCUUCUCGGUGGGUUCCUGGUGUUGAGCCUUGGAGGAAUCACAUGGAUUUGCCUGUAUGCCGCGUAUCUGGGCUGCGCCGUUUAUAUCAGCCUCAAGGCUACCCCAGGGGUGAGUGGUCCGUCUUUGUUCAUUUCACAGUGUCAGCAUGUACUUUCAGCCUUGUCUUCCUGUGGAAUAUAUCUUACAGUGUUGCUUGCUGAUGCUGGGGUGUGGAGAAGAGCAGAGUAGCAAUCAGGAGAGCACAGAGAUGUGCCCUGGGAUUCUUCGCCCUGCACAGCUGUGCUUGCCAGCAGCCCCAGCCUUAUGUCUCUUGAAGUGCUGAUGGCAAAGACAGCAGCAUUUGGGGCAGACUUUAGAGCUUCCUGGGGAUCCUUUCUCCCAGCCAACCUGAACAUG